GGCCGAGUGGCGAAACAGGCAGACGCACAGGACUUAAAAUCCUGUGGGACGAAAAUCCCGUGCGGGUUCGAACCCCGCCUCGGCUA
rnacentral:tRNA from 1 species